UACGUAGGUGGCGAGCGUUGUCCGGAAUUACUGGGUGUAAAGGGCGUGUAGGCGGGGGAGCAAGUCGGAUGUGAAAUUCCUAGGCUUAACCUGGGCGCUGCAUCUGAAACUGUUUCUCUUGAGUACUGGAGAGGAAAGUGGAAUUCCCAGUGUAGCGGUGAAAUGCGUAGAGAUUGGGAGGAACACCAGUGGCGAAGGCGGCUUUCUGGACAGUAACUGACGCUGAGGCGCGAAAGCGUGGGGAGCAAACAGGAUUAGAUACC
rnacentral:rRNA from 1 species